GUGAGAGGGAGGUUGGCAGUGGAACUUGACUUGGAGGAGCUAGAGUGUCAGACAUCAGACUGAUUCCCUAAGAUGAUCAUCUGGGUUCAUUGAUCUCUGAAAAAAAUCCAGAAGUACUCCUCAAGAACAAACUAAAGUCCUCAAAUGAGAGUCAAAUGGGUCAUGUGCUAUAUAGGAGAAUUCUACAUCCAUUGAAUGGGACAGGGAAUUAUAUCUUCAACAAGGUGACAAAACAUUGACAAGAAUGAAGCAUAUCUGCAAUCACAGAGCCAAGCUAGCAAGCCUCUGACAGUUCCCACCAUUAUACUGAUUCUGAGAUAGACAUUCAAGGCCCAUCCAGUUAGCCUCAGGCACUUCCCAAUGAGAUUUAGACUUUUCAAAACAUUAAACAACAUCUGUGUGGGGUCAGUCCUUUACCCUUCCUUGACUUUGUUUACCUCCCAAAUUUCCCUUUCCUCAAAGACUCUAUAAUAAUGGUGGAAAAGAAAAGAGUACCUUUAUAGUUUACUCAAGGGGGGAGGGUUUCAAGAACUGGGAGGUGAAUGUAUACUCUUAUGCCAAAGGGGACUGCCCCCAAAUUGGCUUUUUGUCAACCUAGUAAUCAUUGCUUUUGUUCUUUUUACCUUUUAUCCACAAAUUAUUGCAAUUUUUAAGCUGAUUAUGUUUCCAUGAUCCUUUUGGGGAAACUGGAUUCCCAAUAGGAUCACAGGGGGGUUACGUGUAAAUGAAGAUUUCGAGCCUUUGGACUUCAUCCCCCAUAAUUCCUUUAGUAUUUCCCAAAAUUCCAUUUUCCUGCAUCCUU